GGGUUUUGUAUGAGCACCUUAUUAAUAUAAUGCUUUAAUGUAAAGAUAUUUGUGUCUAGCUUUGUUAUGCUACUGAGAGAGUGGAAUCUUGUGCUGGUGCCUUUACUUUCUGUAAUAAUCGCAAUGGAAGGACUAUAUAUCUGAAUAAUAUUGUGUUCCCUCAUAAAUUGCUUCUUUCCUUUCUUCAAGGUCGAGAAUUGGAUUUCUGAGUGGUAUGAUCAGAAGUGCUGUGUACAGUUAUCAAAAUACACGUGGUGGCAUCCAGUUAAAGAAUGACAAAAAAAAAAAAAAAAAUCAACUGGAUGUUGCCAAGUCAACAUCUAAUUCUAGCACUGUUGAAAAGUUGAUUUUGAUUAGUAAAAAAGAUGGAAAAUGUCCCAUCCAUCUCAAAGAUGUUCUAUUAAUAUUUUUUCGAGGUUCCAGCACAUUUAAGUAGGCCAGGG
rnacentral:lncRNA from 1 species